UACAGAGGUCCCAAGCGUUGUUCGGAUUCAUUGGGCGUAAAGGGUGCGUCGGUGGCGCCGUAAGUCGGGUGUGAAAUUUCGGAGCUUAACUCCGAAACUGCAUUCGAUACUGCGGUGCUUGAGGACUGGAGAGGAGACUGGAAUUCAUGGUGUAGCAGUGAAAUGCGUAGAGAUCAUGAGGAAGACCAGUGGCGAAGGCGGGGCUCUGGACAGUUCCUGACACUGAGGCACGAAGGCCAGGGGAGCAAACGGG
rnacentral:rRNA from 1 species